rnacentral:lncRNA from 1 species
AAAUGAUAAAAGAAAAGGUUGAGUGAUGCCAAGGUAAAAUUUAAAUUAAGAAGUAUGUUGUAAUAUGUUAAUUUAAGGUAGGGACUAGAUUGUGAAGAUGUGAAAAUUUUUAGACACAAAUAAAAUUAUUCAAAAUUUGAGGGGUUGAAAUGUAGAUAUGAAAAAAGUUGAAGGACCAAAAGUGAAAUUAAACCAAUUUCUUGUGAUAGGAAAUUGGUAAGCAGGGACCAAAUUGAAUCAAAGAAAAAAUCUGAGGGGCUACAUUUUAAUUUUUCCAAAAAAAAGAAUGGCCUAAAUGUAAAAUUUAAAAGGUUCAAGGGUAAAAUAGUCAUUUUCAAAAAU